UUGGCACCACGACCUUCGGGCGCUUAUUUUUGGACGCGGCUGUGCCCGCGACUUCCCGCGGGCACCCCGAGGCCCCUCGCAAAGUCUCGCCCCAUUCCGAGUCCGGUGGACGAACUUCGCCCGCGCCCCCCACCAAGGCUAUAGCCCACCCAUUUUUUGGCCAUUUUUCCGCUGGGGGGUUUUGGCACCACGACCUUCGGGCGCUUAUUUUUGGGCGCGGCCUUGCCCACGGCUUAUUUUUGGCACCCCGAGGCCCCUCGCAAAGUCUCGCCCCAUUCCGAGUCCGGCGGACGAACUUCGCCAGCGCCCCCCACCAAGGCUAUAGCCCACCCGUUUUUUGGCCAUUUUUCCGCUGGGGGGUUUUGGCACCACGACCUUCGGGCGCUUAUUUUUGGACGCGGCUGUGCCCGCGACUUCCCGCGGGCACUCCGAGGCCCCUCGCAAAGUCUCGCCCCAUUCCGAGUCCGGCGGACGAACUUCGCCCGCGCCCCCCACCAAGGCUAUAGCCCACCCGUUUUUUGGCCAUUUUUCCGCUGGGGGGUUUUGGCACCACGACCUUCGGGCGCUUAUUUUUGGGCGCGGCUUUGCCCGCGGCUUAUUUUUGGCACCCCGAGGCCCCUCGCAAAGUCUCGCCCCAUUCCGAUUCCGGCGGACGAACUUCGCACGCGCCCCCCACUAAGGCUAUAGCCCACCCGUUUUUUGGCCAUUUUUCCGCUGGGGGGUUUUGGCACCACGACCUUCGGGUGCUUAUUUUUGGACGCGGCUGUGCCCGCGACUUCCCGCAGGCACCCCGAGGCCCCUCGCAAAGUCACGCCCCAUUCUGAGUCCGGCGGACGAACUUCGCCCGCGCCCCCCACCAAGGCUAUAGCCCACCCGUUUUUUGGCCAUUUUUCCGCUGGGGGGUUUUGGCACCACGACCUUCAGGCGCUUAUUUUUGGUGCGCCGAGGCCCCUCGCAAAGUCUCGCCCCAUUCCGAGCCCGGCGGACGAACUUCGCCCGCGCCCCCCACCAAGGCUAUAGCCCACCCGUUUUUUGGCCAUUUUUCCGCUGGGGGGUUUUGGCACCACGACCUUCAGGCGCUUAUUUUUGGGCGCGGCUUUGCCCGCGGCUUAUUUUUGGUGCGCCGAGGCCCCUCGCAAAGUCUCGCCCCAUUCCGAGUCCGGCGGACGAACUUCGCUCGCGCCCCCCACGAAGGCUAUAGGCCACCCCUUUUUUGGCCAUUUUUCCGCUGGCGGGUUUUGGCACCACGACCUUCGGGCGCUUAUUUUUGGGCGCGGCUUUGCCCGCGGCUUAUUUUUGGCGCCCCGAGGCUCCUCGCAAAGUCUCGCCCCAUUCCGAGUCCGGCGCACGAACUUCGCCCGCGCCCCCCACCAAGGCUAUAGCCCACCCGUUUUUUGGCCAUUUUUCCGCUGGGGGGUUUUGGCACCAUGACCUUCGGGCGCUUAUUUCUGGACGCGGCUGUGCCCGCGACUUCCCGCGGGCACCCCGAGGCCCCUCGCAAAGUCUCGCCCCAUUCCGAGUCCGGCGGACGAACUUCGCCCGCGCCCCCCACCAAGGCUAUAGCCCACCCGUUUUUUGGCCAUUUUUCCGCUGGGGGGUUUUGGCACCACGACCUUCGGGCUCUUAUUUCUGGACGCGGCUGUGCCCGCGACUUCCCGCGGGCACCCCGAGGCCCCUCGCAAAGUCUCGCCCCAUUCCGAGUCCGGCGGACGAACUUCGCCCGCGCCCCCCACCAAGGCUAUAGCCCACCCAUUUUUUGGCCAUUUUUCCGCUGGGGGGUUUUGGCAACACGACCUUCGGGCACUUAUUUUUGGGCGCGGCGUUGCCCGCGGCUUAUUUUGGGCACCCCGAGGCCCCUCGCAAAGUCUCGCCCCAUUCCGAGUCCGGCGGACGAACUUCGCCCGCGCCCCCCACCAAGGCUAUAGCCCACCCGUUUUUUGGCCAUUUUUCCGCUGGGGGGUUUUGGCACCACGACCAUCGGGCUCUUAUUUUUGGACGCGGCUUGUCCAGCGACUUCCCGCGGGCACCCCGAGGCCCCUCGCAAAGUCUCGCCCCAUUCCGAGUCCGGCGGACGAACUUCGCCCGCGCCCCCCACCAAGGCUAUAGCCCACCCGUUUUUUGGCCAUUUUUCCGCUGGGGGGUUUUGGCACCACGACCUUCGGGCACUUAUUUUUGGACGCAGCUGUGCCCGCGACUUCCCGCGAGCACCCCGAAGCCCCUCGCAAAGUCUCGCCCCAUUCCGAGUCCGGCGGACGAACUUCGCCCGCGCCCCCCACCAAGGCUAUAGCCCACCCGUUUUUUGGCCAUUUUUCCGCUGGGGGGUUUUGGCACCACGACUUUCGGGCGCUUAUUUUUGGGCGCGGCUUUGCCCGCAGCUUAUUUUUGGCGCCCCGAGGCCCUGCACAAAGUCUCGCCCCAUUCCGAGUCCGGCGGACGAACUUCGCCCGCGCCCCCCACCAAGGCUAUAGCCCAGCCGUCUUUUGGCCAUUUUUCCGCUGGGGGGUUUUGGCACCACGACCUUCAGGCGCUUAUUUUUGGGCGCAGCUUUGCCCACGGCUUAUUUUUGGUGCCCCGAUGCCCCUCGCAAAGUCUCGCCCCAGUCCGAGUCCGGCGGACGAACUUCGCCCGCGCCCCCCACCAAGGCUAUAGCCCACCCGUUUUUUGGCCAUUUUUCCGCUGGGGGGUUUUGGCACCACGACCUUCGGGCGCUUAUUUCUGGACGCGGCUGUGCCCGCGACUUCCCGCGGGCACCCCGAGGCCCCUCGCAAAGUCUCGCCCCANNNNNNNNNNNNNNNNNNNNNNNNNNNNNNNNNNNNNNNNNNNNNNNNNNNNNNNNNNNNNNNNNNNNNNNNNNNNNNNNNNNNNNNNNNNNNNNNNNNNCCAACCCGUUUUUUGGCCAAUUUUCCGCUGGGGGGGUUUUGGCACCACGACCUUCGGGCUCUUAUUUCUGGACGCGGCUGUGCCCGUGACUUCCCGCGGGCACCCCGAGGCCCCUCGCAAAGUCUCGCCACAUUCCGAGUCCGGCGGACGAACUUCGCCCGCGCCCCCCACCAAGGCUAUAGCCCACCCGUUUUUUGGCCAUUUUUCCGCUGGGGGGUUUUGGCAACACGACCUUCGGGCGCUUAUUUUUGGACACGGCUGUGCCCGCGACUUCCCGCGGGCACCCCAAGGCCCCUCGCAAAGUCUCGCCCCAUUCCGAGUCCGGCGGACGAACUUCGCCCGCGCCCCCCACCAAGGCUAUAGCCCACCCGUUUUUUGGCCAUUUUUCCGCUGGGGGGUUUUGGCACCACGACCUUCGGGCGCUUAUUUUUGGACGCGGCUGUGCCCGCGACUUCCCGCGGGCACCUCGAGGCCCCUCGCAAAGUCUCGCCCCAUUCCGAGUCCGGCGGACGAACUUCGCCCGCGCCCCCCACCAAGGCUAUAGCCCACCCGUUUUUUGGCCAUUUUUCCGCUGGGGGGUUUUGGCACCACGACCUUUGGGCGCUUAUUUUUGGGCGCGGCUUUGUCCGCGGCUUAUUUUUGGCACCCCGAGGCCCCUAGCAAAGUCUCGCCCCAUUCCGAGUCCGGCGGACGAACUUCGCCCGCGCCCCCCACCAAGGCUAUAGCCCACCCGUUUUUUGGCCAUUUUUCCGCUGGGGGGUUUUGGCACCACGACCUUCGGGCGCUUAUUUUUGGGCACGGCUUUGCCCGCGGCUUAUUUUUGGUGCCCCGAGGCCCCUCGCAAAGUCUCGCCCCAUUCCGAGUCCGGCAGACGAACUUCGCCCGCGCCCCCCACCAAGGCUAUAGCCCACCCGUUUUUUGGCCAUUUUUCCGCUGGGGGGGUUUUGGCACCACGACCUUCGGGCGCUAAUUUUUGGGUGCGGCUGUGCCCGCGACUUCCCGCGGGCACCCCGAGGCCCCUCGCAAAAUCUCGCCCCAUUCCGAGUCCGGCGGACGAACUUCGCCCGCGCCCCCCACCAAGGCUAUAGCCCACCCGUUUUUUGGCCAUUUUUCCGCUGGGGGGUUUUGGCACCACGACCAUCGGGCGCUUAUUUUUGGGCGCGGCUGUGCCCGCGACUUCCCGCGGGCACCCCGAGGCCCCUCGCAAAGUCUCGCCCCAUUCCGAGUCCGGCGGACGAACUUCGCCCGCGCCCCCCACCAAGGCUAUAGCCCACCCGUUUUUUGGCCAUUUUUCCGCUCGGGGGUUUUGGCACCACGACCUUCGGGUGCUUAUGUUUGGGCGCGGCUUUGCCCGCGGCUUAUUUUUGGCACCCCGAGGCCCCUUGCAAAGUCUCGCCCCAUUCCGAGUCCGGCGGACGAACUUCGCCCGCGCCCCCCACCAAGGCUAUAGCCCACCCGUUUUUUGGCCAUUUUUCCGCUGGGAGGUUUUGGCACCACGACCUUCGGGCGCUUAUUUUUGGGCGCGGCUUUGCCCGCGGCUUAUUUUUGGCACCCCGAGGCCCCUCGCAAAGUCUCGCCGCAUUCCGAGUCCGGCGGACGAACUUCGCCCGCGCCCCCCACCAAGGCUAUAGCCCACCCGUUUUUUGGCCAUUUUUCCGCUGGGGGGUUUUGGCUCCACGACCUUCGGGCGCUUAUUUUUGGGCGCGGCUUUGCCCGCGGCUUAUUUUUGGCACCCCGAGGCCCCUCGCAAAGUCUUGCGGCAUUCCGAGUCCGGCGGACGAACUUCGCCCGCGCCCCCCACCAAGGCUAUAGCCCACCCGUUUUUUGGCCAUUUUUCCGCUGGGGGGUUUUGGCACCACGACCUUCGGGCGCUUAUUUUUGGGCGCGGCUUGGCCCGCGGCUUAUUUUUGGCACCCCGAGGCCCCUCGCAAAGUCUCGCCCCAUUCCGAGUCCGGCGGACGAACUUCGCCCGCGCCCCCCACCAAGGCUAUAGCCCACCCGUUUUUUGGCCAUUUUUCCGGUGGGGGGUUUUGGCACCACGACCUUCGGGCGCUUAUUUCUGGGCGCGGCUUUGCCCGCGGCUUAUUUUUGGCACCCCGAGGCCCCUCGCAAAGUCUCGCCGCAUUCCGAGUCCGGCGGACGAACUUCGCCCGCGCCCCCCACCAAGACUAUAGCCCACCCGUUUUUUGGCCAUUUUUCCGCUGGGGGGUUUUGGCACCACGACCUUCGGGCGCUUAUUUUUGGGCGCGGCUUUGCCCGGGGCUUAUUUUUGGCACGCCGAGGCCCCUCGCAAAGUCUCGCCGCAUUCCGAGUCCGGCGGACGAACUUCGCCCGCGCCCCCCACCAAGGCUAUAGCCCACCC
rnacentral:lncRNA from 1 species